rnacentral:rRNA from 1 species
CUGAUACUGGCAAGCUUGAGUCUCGUAGAGGGGGGUAGAAUUCCAGGUGUAGCGGUGAAAUGCGUAGAGAUCUGGAGGAAUACCGGUGGCGAAGGCGGCCCCCUGGACGAAGACUGACGCUCAGGUGCGAAAGCGUGGGGAGCAAACAGGAUUAGAUACCCUGGUAGUCCACGCCGUAAACGAUGUCGACUUGGAGGUUGUGCCCUUGAGGCGUGGCUUCCGGAGCUAACGCGUUAAGUCGACCGCCUGGGGAGUACGGCCGCAAGGUUAAAACUCAAAUGAAUUGACGGGGGCCCGCACAAGCGGUGGAGCAUGUGGUUUAAUUCGAUGCAACGCGAAGAACCUUACCUGGUCUUGACAUCCACGGAAGUUUUCAGAGAUGAGAAUGUGCCUUCGGGAACCGUGAGACAGGUGCUGCAUGGCUGUCGUCAGCUCGUGUUGUGAAAUGUUGGGUUAAGUCCCGCAACGAGCGCAACCCUUAUCCUUUGUUGCCAGCGGUCCGGCCGGGAACUCAAAGGAGACUGCCAGUGAUAAACUGGAGGAAGGUGGGGAUGACGUCAAGUCAUCAUGGCCCUUACGACCAGGGCUACACACGUGCUACAAUGGCGCAUACAAAGAGAAGCGAUCUCGCGAGAGCAAGCGGACCUCAUAAAGUGCGUCGUAGUCCGGAUUGGAGUCUGCAACUCGACUCCAUGAAGUCGGAAUCGCUAGUAAUCGUGGAUCAGAAUGCCACGGUGAAUACGUUCCCGGGCCUUGUACACACCGCCCGUCACACCAUGGGAGUGGGUUGCAAAAGAAGUAGGUAGCUUAACCUUCGGGAGGGCGCUUACCACUUUGUGAUUCAUGACUGGGGUGAAGUCGUAACAAGGUAACCGUAGGGGAACCUGCGGUUGGAUCACCUCCUUACCUUAAAGAAGC